rnacentral:rRNA from 1 species
UUUAAAUGUAAAAUAAAUAUACUAAAGUAGUAUUAGUUAUGUUCUUGAAAUUUAAAGAUUUUGGCGGUAUUUUAGUCUAUUUAGAGGAACCUGUUCUAUAAUUGAUAAUCCACGAUUAAUUUUACUUAGUUUCUAUAAAUUUGUAUACCGUCGUUAUAAGAAGAUUUUAAAAGAAUAUAAAUUUUUAAUAUUUUAUAUAAAAAAAUAUAUCAGAUCAAGGUGCAGUUUAUAAUUAAGAAGAAAUGGGUUACAAUAAAUUUAUUUAUACGGAUUAAAGUGAGAAUGUAAUUUUAUGAAGGUGGAUUUAAUAGUAAUAAAAUUAAUUUAAAUUUUAUGAUUUUAGCUCUAAAAUAUG